rnacentral:rRNA from 1 species
AGUGAACGCUGGCGGCAUGCCUUACACAUGCAAGUCGAACGGUAACGGGCCUUCGGGUGCCGACGAGUGGCGAACGGGUGAGUAAUGUAUCGGAACGUAGCUUUCAGUGGGGGAUAACGUAGCGAAAGUUACGCUAAUACCGCAUAUUCUGUGUGCAGGAAAGCAGGGGAUCGCGAGACCUCGCGCUGAUCGAGCGGCCGAAAUCAGGUUACCUUGGUGAUGGGGUAAAGGCUCACCAAGGCGACGAUCUGAAGCGGGUCUGAGAGGAUGAGCCGCCACACUGGAACUGAGACACGGUCCAGACUCCUACGGGAGGCAGCAGUGGGGAAUUUUGGACAAUGGGGGCAACCCUGAUCCAGCCAUGCCGCGUGAGUGAAGAAGGCCUUCGGGUUGUAAAGCUCUUUCGGCCGGGAAGAAAUCGUAUCAGCUAAUACCUGGUGCGGAUGACGGUACCGGCAUAAGAAGCACCGGCUAACUACGUGCCAGCAGCCGCCGUAAUAC